ACAUGCAAGUCGAGCGGACUUGUUAGAAGCUUGCUUCUAACAAGUUAGCGGCGGACGGGUGAGUAACACGUGGGUAACCUGCCUGUAAGAUGGGGAUAACUCCGGGAAACCGGAGCUAAUACCGAAUAACACUUUCGCUCGCAUGAGCGGAUGUUAAAAGACGGUUUCGGCUGUCACUUACAGAUGGACCCGCGGCGCAUUAGCUAGUUGGUGAGGUAACGGCUCACCAAGGCGACGAUGCGUAGCCGACCUGAGAGGGUGAUCGGCCACACUGGGACUGAGACACGGCCCAGACUCCUACGGGAGGCAGCAGUAGGGAAUCUUCCGCAAUGGACGAAAGUCUGACGGAGCAACGCCGCGUGAGUGAUGAAGGUUUUCGGAUCGUAAAACUCUGUUGUUAGGGAAGAACAAGUAUGAGAGUAACUGCUCGUACCUUGACGGUACCUAACCAGAAAGCCACGGCUAACUACGUGCCAGCAGCCGCGGUAAUACGUAGGUGGCAAGCGUUGUCCGGAAUUAUUGGGCGUAAAGCGCGCGCAGGCGGUUCCUUAAGUCUGAUGUGAAAGCCCACGGCUCAACCGUGGAGGGUCAUUGGAAACUGGGGAACUUGAGUGCAGAAGAGGAAAGCGGAAUUCCACGUGUAGCGGUGAAAUGCGUAGAGAUGUGGAGGAACACCAGUGGCGAAGGCGGCUUUCUGGUCUGUAACUGACGCUGAGGCGCGU
rnacentral:rRNA from 2 species